CAGGCAGAGAGAUUGCAUGGUUCAGCAUAUUCCUUUGUUCUCUAGCCAGGGAGACAGCAAGCAAGAAUGGUGCCAUAUCAAGAAUAUCCCAAGUGGAACAUUCAAGCUGGAGACACAGCAACACCUCAUAAAUUCUGGAUUGGAGGAUUUAACCAUUUCUGAGUUGCAAAGAGAAACAAAGGAAAAAAAUACUAUGAACUUCAAAAAAAAUUUGCAGGUUAAGACUAAUCACUGUGGGCCUUGGUACUUCAGGAAAGAUGAUGAGCUUUUCUUACUGUAUGGAGGAAAAAAGAGACAUACAGUGUCUUAAGAAGCAUGCUAAAAGCAUGCUGUUGAACACCUUUGUUCUUUACUCACUGUCAUUUGGGUUAAUUGUGACUUUUUGUCUUGAAACCCGUGUAAAUAAAUAAACCACUUUAUUAUUAAUAGUAGUAGUAGUAAUAUUAGUAUUAAUAUUAUGUGUCAGAAGUGAUGCAGCUUUGAAAACAGCAAGAAUUUGAAUUGCUUUCAUUUCUAUAUAAUCUUGAAGGCAAGUAAUUUCUGUGAUAGUUUCACAGUUAAAAUUGUGUGGAGUUAUUGGUAUCAAGAAACUCUCAGUUUAGAAUAGUAAACAAUUUUGGAUUCUGCCAUUAACUUGUGCACUGUCUUUUGAAGAUUUCUUCCAUUGUUUACCUUUUAUUGUUAAGACAUUUCCUAUCAGUUUUCUUGGAAUUUUAAUAACUUUAAUUAUUGUGAUUUUAAUAAGGACUUGGCAACACUAUCAGACAUUUUGUAUUUGACAGCUGGGUUUCACAGUAAUCAGUACACAAGAAAUAUCUGGGCAGAUAAAAAGAAUCUUGUCACAUUUAAGCUUCCAAAUAGUCUUACUUUACAUAAGCAUAUUGCAAACAUACUAGAAAUCUUACAGGAAGUUUGCUGAGGUAAGACACUAUUCAUUGCCAAGAAACACUGUUGCUAUUUUGUAAUUACAAUGAAAAGCUUGGGAGUGUCACAUUGUGCAAGACAUUUUGUCAUCAUCCUAGUCAUUAUCAUUAAUGUGUUGCUGAACACCAAAUAAAAUAUAAAGCUUUAGCUCUA